ACAGUGGCACAUGACAACCCAACCUUGCACAUCCUAACUUGGAGCACUUAUGCGAUAUGAAAGAAUCAUAAGUGCUCUUUGUGAAGGAUGAGCUAGACUGAGGAUUAAGCUCCUAAAACAA
rnacentral:precursor_RNA from 12 species